rnacentral:rRNA from 1 species
GGUGAACGCUGGCGGCGUGCCUAAUACAUGCAAGUCGAGCGAACAGACGAGGAACUUGCUCCUCUGACGUUAGCGGCGGACGGGUGAGUAACACGUGGAUAACCUACCUAUAAGACUGGGAUAACUUCGGGAAACCGGAGCUAAUACCGGAUAAUAUAUUGAACCGCAUGGUUCAAUAGUGAAAGACGGUUUUGCUGUCACUUAUAGAUGGAUCCGCGCCGCAUUAGCUAGUUGUUAAGGUAACGGCUUACCAAGGCAACGAUGCGUAGCCGACCUGAGAGGGUGAUAGGCCACAUUGGAACUGAGCCACGGUCCAGACUCCUACGGGAGGCAGCAGUAGGGAAUCUUCCGCAAUGGGCGAAAGCUUGACGGAGCAACGCCGCGUGAGUGAUGAAGGUCUUCGGAUCGUAAAACUCUGUUAUUAGGGAAGAACAAAUGUGUAAGUAACUAUGCACGUCUUGACGGUACCUAAUCAGAAAGCCACGGCUAACUACGUG